CGGCAGUCUUGGCGGCACGCGGUAAGGCGGCGCGGGAUGUGGUACGAUGGAAAGGAGGUUUUCAGUGGUGUCGAGUACAUUGUGCAUUAAGCACUUCAUGGAAGGACCACUACAAGUCGAAGAAUACUUGGUACACACAAGUGGAUUUUCCUGAAAGCCAUACAGGCAUGAACACUUUCUAAUAGUGGGAAUGUGACGUCCUGAAGAAUAUUUCCUUGCAGCAGGAAAUAAAACAGAGAGAUGCUUGAAUGCUGCUUCUGAAUAGAAGGAAAACGUGUUUCACAGAAAACAAGUAGGAACAAGAGCUUUGGGCUUUUUCAGUGAUGAAUUGAAACACUUUGUCAGAACUGCUUGACAAAUGUGGAUGAUGUAACCAGAAGGAAGUCUAACCUGAAGAGAUUGUGGCUUGGAGUGGGAUGCCAUGCUUUUAAAAGCCUACUGAAACAGCUGCAAUUUUGUUCAGUAGAUACUGUCUUCAGAAAGAUUGUGUGGACCAAAAUUGCUGUC